CUACUCCGAUCACCGAAGUUAAGCAACGUCGAGCCCGGUUAGUACUUGGAUGGGUGACCGCCUGGGAAUACCGGGUGUUGUAG
rnacentral:rRNA from 1 species